CUCUAUAUAAUUCCUGUUCAGUCAGUCAUCAGUGCCAGUUCGUCAGCUCUUGUUUUUGUGCUCAUCUGUUCCCAGUCCUGCUGCUUAGUUUAUUUGUUGCCAACCUUAGACCAGUUCUUGGAUGCUGCUUUUGGAUUCUGGUGUGGACACUCUUGCUAUUUUUGAUUUUUCUGUUUUUUGACCCUGGACUGAUUUUUGGAUUGGUUUCUUGUUUUUCCCUUAUUGUGAUCUGACUGCCUCAGUUGUUUUGGUUCCUGUUCCAAAAUAAAUAUCUUCUGUCGGCA